rnacentral:siRNA from 1 species
UGGCAUUCAGGUCAUUGUAGCUGC